rnacentral:rRNA from 1 species
AUUGAACGCUGGCGGCAUGCCUUACACAUGCAAGUCGAACGGCAGCACGGGUGCUUGCACCUGGUGGCGAGUGGCGAACGGGUGAGUAAUACAUCGGAACAUGUUCUGUAGUGGGGGAUAGCCCGGCGAAAGCCGGAUUAAUACCGCAUACGAUCUACGGAUGAAAGCGGGGGACCUUCGGGCCUCGCGCUAUAGGGUUGGCCGAUGGCUGAUUAGCUAGUUGGUGGGGUAAAGGCCUACCAAGGCGACGAUCAGUAGCUGGUCUGAGAGGACGACCAGCCACACUGGGACUGAGACACGGCCCAGACUCCUACGGGAGGCAGCAGUGGGGAAUUUUGGACAAUGGGCGAAAGCCUGAUCCAGCAAUGCCGCGUGUGUGAAGAAGGCCUUCGGGUUGUAAAGCACUUUUGUCCGGAAAGAAAUCCUUGGCUCUAAUACAGUCGGGGGAUGACGGUACCGGAAGAAUAAGCACCGGCUAACUACGUG